GGACUACACGGGUAUCUAAUCCCGUUCGCUCCCCUAGCUUUCGCCCCUGAGCGUCAGGUACCAGCCAGGACACUGCCUGCGCCUUCGGUGUUCCUCCGGAUAUCUACGCAUUUCACCACUACACCCGGAAUUCCGUGUCCCUCUCUGGUCCUCAAGUCAGCCCGUUUUUGAGACGCUCUCCCAGUGAAGCCAGGAGCUGUUACCUCAAACGCGACCGACCGCCUGCGGGCGCUUUACGCCCAGUAACUCCGGACAACGCUCGCCCCCUACGUAUUACCGCGGCGGCUGGCAC
rnacentral:rRNA from 1 species